GAAUCUAACCAAGUGUUCCAACAGAUUAUUAUGAUGAUUGUGGUGGAAUAAGUGAGUUGAGAGUCAACAGUAAAUGGAACAGGGGAUAGUUAACAACACUGAACAGGGGAUAGUUAAAGCUUUGGGCUUAGUGAUUCCUUUUACAUCUCAGUUCUGCCGAGACCUGGAUCAAUAUAUUAAGGAGGGGGCAUCAGAUAUGAGGGAUGGUCAACAUGAAGAAAAAAAAUGCUUUCUAAACAUGAUAAUAAUGUAGAAAUGUGUAACCAUGGACUACCCAGUGCUGAUGUGAGAUUGAGGACGGGAGCAUACUGCCAUCAGUGAGAGGAAGAGCUGACCCUCUUGUCAGCCACAGGAACUCAAGCUGUUAAACAGAGCAACUCAGUGAUUUGCCAGCAUGGAAUCAAGGCAGACAGAGAUUCGGCCACUGCAGGGCAGACACCAGGAAUGUUAAAAUGAAAAUACAAUAGAGGAUAUAAUCCUUGGGUGACCAAUCUCUU